rnacentral:tRNA from 1 species
GUAGAUAUAGUUUAACAUAAAACAUUAGAUUGUGAUUCUAAUAAUAGAGGUUAAAUUCCCCUUAUCCACC